rnacentral:rRNA from 1 species
AACGAACGCUGGCGGCAUGCCUAACACAUGCAAGUCGAACGAAGCCUUCGGGCUUAGUGGCGCACGGGUUCGUAACGCGUGGGAAUCUGCCCUGGGGUUCGGAAUAACGGUUAGAAAUGACUGCUCAUGCCGGAUGAUGUCUUAGGACCAAAGAUUUAUCGCCCAAGGAUGAGCCCGCGUAGGAUUAGGUAGUUGGUGGGGUAAUGGCCCACCAAGCCGACGAUCCUUAGCUGGUCUGAGAGGAUGAUCAGCCACACUGGGACUGAGACACGGCCCAGACUCCUACGGGAGGCAGCAGUGGGGAAUAUUGGACAAUGGGCGAAAGCCUGAUCCAGCAAUGCCGCGUGAGUGAUGAAGGCCUUAGGGUUGUAAAGCUCUUUUACCAGGGAUGAUAAUGACAGUACCUGGAGAAUAAGCUCCGGCUAACUCCGUGCCAGCAGCCGCAGUAA